CAGAUUGGACAUUGGUGUAAUGGGACCAUUCAUACGUGGAUGAGGGAGAUUAGGUGCCAUUGGUACAGGACCAUUUACUCCUCUUGGUGAAGGAAGAGCCGGCAUUGGUGGAUUAGGAAGUAAACCGGAAGACGGUGGUGGAAGGUGAGGUUGCCCUGGAACCAGCGGAUGUAGUUGAGGUUGAACUUGAUUUCCAACUGGACUUGGAUCUAUAAGAGAAGUUUGAAGAUAUCGCAUAUAAGCAGAUAUAGGAGAGUCAGCUGUGUUUGCCCAUGGAGCAUCACCAGGAACCAUAGGUUGCAUCAUUGUAGAUGGUGGUUGUCCAUAUUGACCAGGUGGUCCAGGCCUAACUAAGCCAGGGUUAUUAUAUGGACCAGGAGGUGGAACCGGAGCCGGUGCAUGAGCAGGAACAGGGGCAGGGACAGGAGCCGGGGGAGGAAUAUGAG
rnacentral:lncRNA from 1 species